rnacentral:rRNA from 1 species
AUACGGAGGAUGCAAGCGUUAUCCGGAUUUAUUGGGUUUAAAGGGUGCGUAGGCGGGACUGUAAGUCAGGGGUGAAAUACUGCAGCUUAACUGUAGCAUUGCCUUUGAAACUGCCGUUCUUGAGUACAGUUGAGGGAGGCGGAAUGUGGUGUGUAGCGGUGAAAUGCAUAGAUAUACCACAGAACGCCGAUUGCGAAGGCAGCUUACUAAGCUGUUACUGACGCUGAGGCACGAAAGCGUGGGGAUCAAACAGGAUUAGAUACCCUGGUAGUCCACGCUGUAAACGAUGAUUACUGGUUGUUAGCGAUAUAUAGCUAGUGACUGAGCGAAAGCAUUAAGUAAUCCACCUGGGGAGUACGUCGGCAACGAUGAAACUCAAAGGAAUUGACGGGG